rnacentral:rRNA from 1 species
CGGGCGACGCGCCGGUCUAAGUCCCUUGGAACGGAGCGUCACAGAGGGUGAGAAUCCCGUAUGUGACCGGUGACCGCGCCCAUGUGAAACCCCGUUCGACGAGUCGAGUUGUUUGGGAAUGCAGCUCAAAAUGGGUGGUAAAUUUCAUCUAAAGCUAAAUACCGGCCAGAGACCGAUAGCGCACAAGUAGAGUGAUCGAAAGAUGAAAAGCACUUUGGAAAGAGAGUCAAAAAGUACGUGAAAUUGUUGAAAGGGAAGCGCUUGCAACCAGACCUGCCCGCGGGUGAUCAACCGUCCUUCUGGGCGGUGCACUCGCCCGCGAUCAGGCCAGCAUCGGUUCGGGCGGUCGGAUAAAGGCCUUGGGAACGUAGCUCCUCUCGGGGAGUGUUAUAGCCCUCGGUGCAAUGCGGCCUGCCCGGACCGAGGACCGCGCUUCGGCUAGGAUGCUGGCGUAAUGGUUGUAAGCGGCCCGUCUUGAAACACGGACCAAGGAGUCGACCAACUAUGCGAGUGUUUGGGUGUCAAACCCACACGCGCAAUGAAAGUGAACGGAGGUGGGAACCCCUUCCGGGGCGCACCAUCGACCGAUCCAGAUGUCUUCGGAUGGAUUUGAGUACGAGCAUAGCUGGUCGGACCCGAAAGAUGAUGAACUAUGCCUGAAUAGGGUGAAGCCAGAGGAAACUCUGGUGGAGGCUCGCAGCGGUUCUGACGUGCAAAUCGAUCGUCAAAUUUGGGCAUAGGGGCGAAAGACUAAUCGAAUCAUC